GACAGUACACACUGUUGUAACAUAUUGACAGAAACUGCAAUUUUAAAUUUCAAAUCACUUCGAUAAAAAUAAAGAUAAGGGAACAAAACACAGCAUACACGAUUGACGUCCGUACGCCACGAAAGAAAACUGAUAACUGAAAUAGGUUAUUUAUGGGUUUUUAGAAUAUUUGGGGAAAAUCGGAAAGAAAAUUAUAGGUAAAAUGGCAAAUAUGUAGGAUUAACAUAAUAUCGAUGAUUAUCGAUUUCAUCGUUGUUUUUAAUUUUUGCAACUUAUGUUUUCAACCAGAUAUAUUGCGUGAAUCGUAAAAUGACAAGAGAUCGAUUUUGUUUCUUUUACUAUAAGCCACAGUCUGAUAAAA